rnacentral:rRNA from 1 species
UACGUAGGGUGCGAGCGUUAAUCGGAAUUACUGGGCGUAAAGCGUGCGCAGGCGGUUUUGUAAGCCAGAUGUGAAAUCCCCGGGCUUAACCUGGGAAUGGCAUUUGGGACUGCAAGGCUUGAGUGCGGCAGAGGAGACUGGAAUUCCUGGUGUAGCAGUGAAAUGCGUAGAUAUCAGGAGGAACACCGAUGGCGAAGGCGGUUCUCUGGGCAUGUCCUGACGCUGAGGAGCGAAAGCGUGGGGAGCGAGCAGG